GGAGAGGUGACCGAGUGGUUUAAGGUGCACGCCUGGAACGCGUGUGAACGAGAGUUCCGAGAGUUCGAAUCUCUCCCUCUCCG
rnacentral:tRNA from 1 species